AAUAGAUACCCGGGUAGUCCACGCCGUAAACGAUGAGUGCUAGGUGUUGGGGGGGUACCACCCUCAGUGCCGAAGCUAACGCAUUAAGCACUCCGCCUGGGGAGUACGGUCGCAAGACUGAAACUCAAAGGAAUUGACGGGGGCCCGCACAAGCAGUGGAGCAUGUGGUUUAAUUCGAAGCAACGCGAAGAACCUUACCAGGACUUGACAUCCCGCUGACCGGUCUAGAGAUAGACCUUCCCUUCGGGGCAGCGGUGACAGGUGGUGCAUGGUUGUCGUCAGCUCGUGUCGUGAGAUGUUGGGUUAAGUCCCGCAACGAGCGCAACCCUUGUCCUCUGUUGCCAUCAGGUUAAGCUGGGCACUCUGAGGAGACUGCCGGUGAUAAACCGGAGGAAGGUGGGGAUGACGUCAAGUCAGCAUGGCCUUUAUGUCUGGGGCUACACACGUGCUACAAUGGCCGACACAAACCGUCGCGAUGCCGCAAGGUGGAGCUAAUCGGACAAAGUCGGUCUCAGUUCGGAUUGC
rnacentral:rRNA from 1 species